ACCUCUCCCGAGACCGGCCAGGCCCCUACAGUACAGGGGCUGAAGGGUGUAGCACGAGCCCUAAAAGAGAUGCAGCUGGAGGCCGCCCCGCACAAGGCGCUGGGGUGGACCGGGGAGGCGCCUUACCCAGUGGAAAGACUCCCGGAUCAAGGGAGAAAGUUACGCAGGCUUCCGAUCCUGAUCCGCCAUCAGCCGCCGAACCUCUUCCGCCACUACCGCCUACCCCCAAAGACCGGCUACACCUCCCCUCCCAGCCGACAGUAGGCCUUGCGUCACUUCCGCCCACGGGGCGGUCUCUUCCGCCUCCUGCCUGGUUCGCCGCUCCCCUCCGCGACGACACGCCCCCAGCCCACUCCGCCGCGGGACGCCUCAUCCCGCGGGUACCCUUCACAGGUUUAACAGCCUCCACCCCUCGGGCACCAAGCAGUGUUAUCCAGGAAAAAAAAAAAAAAAGAGACUGAUUCUCAGUAGUAAUCUCUGUGCCUGUGAGGAACUUAAUGCAAGUCUCAGGAUCUCAAAAUAAGACCUACGAGCAUAAAGUAAUGAGUCUGUCAAGCUGGAUUUCCAUGCAUGGGGGAGGAUCUCUUUAAGUAAGGAAACUUCCUUGUGCUUCUUUAAGCACAGUUGCUAUCAUUCCGGGAGAAGCUCCUUUUAACCCAUAUCUUCUUCCAACUAGCAUCCUAUUUUUUUUCUUUCCUUCCCAGCUGAACUUCUUAAGGACCAACCUAUAUGAUGUGAUAUUUUAGAUAUUAACCUAUUUUUCUUGGUAUUCCUUGUAUAGCUUGCCACUUUCCCAACCCUCACCCAUAGGUUUGUUGCAUUGAAGAAAGGAUGUAGAAGGAAAAUCUUUCUGGCUUUU
rnacentral:lncRNA from 1 species